rnacentral:rRNA from 1 species
GACGAACGCUGGCGGCGUGCUUAACACAUGCAAGUCGAACGGAAAGGCCCUGCUUUUGUGGGGUGCUCGAGUGGCGAACGGGUGAGUAACACGUGAGUAACCUGCCCUUGACUUUGGGAUAACUUCAGGAAACUGGGGCUAAUACCGGAUAGGAGCUCCUGCUGCAUGGUGGGGGUUGGAAAGUUUCGGCGGUUGGGGAUGGACUCGCGGCUUAUCAGCUUGUUGGUGGGGUAGUGGCUUACCAAGGCUUUGACGGGUAGCCGGCCUGAGAGGGUGACCGGCCACAUUGGGACUGAGAUACGGCCCAGACUCCUACGGGAGGCAGCAGUGGGGAAUAUUGCACAAUGGGCGGAAGCCUGAUGCAGCAACGCCGCGUGCGGGAUGACGGCCUUCGGGUGGGAAACCGCUUUCGCCUGUGACGAAGCGUGAGUGACGGUAAUGGGUAAAGAAGCACCGGCGAACUACGU